rnacentral:rRNA from 1 species
UAAUACGGAGGGGGCGAGUGUUGUUCGGAAUUACUGGGCGUAAAGGGCGCGCAGGCGGCCUGGCAAGUCGAGUGUGAAAUCCCUUGGCUUAACUGAGGAAUGGCGCUCGAAACUACCUCGCUGGAGGGCGGGAGAGGGAAGUGGAACUCUCGGUGUAGGGGUGAAAUCUGUAGAUAUCGAGAGGAACACCGGUGGCGAAGGCGGCUUCCUGGCCCGUACCUGACGCUGAGGCGCGAAAGCGUGGGGAGCAAACAGGAUUAGAUACCCUGGUAGUCCACGCCCUAAACGAUGGGCACUAGGUGUGGGCGGUAUUAAUCCCGCCUGUGCCGUAGCUAACGCAUUAAGUGCCCCGCCUGGGGAGUACGGUCGCAAGGCUG